AAUAUCAUCCUCCUUCAAUAUAAGAUGACUUGAACCAUUGAACUCCACCUCAGUCCCUGCAUACUUGGAAAAAACUACCUGGGUGCCAGUCUUAAUAGAAAUGUCAAGUUUGGUCUUCCCAAUUGUCUUCCCCUCUCCAACAGCAACAACCUCACCUCCUUGAGGCUUUGUUUGCGCAGAGGUUGGAAGUAAGAUCCCACCAUCAGUCUUCUCCUCUGCGACCUUAAUCUUAACUAGCACUCUAUCACCCAAAGGCUUAAUCGAAGUGUACUUUGGGGCUAC
rnacentral:misc_RNA from 1 species